rnacentral:rRNA from 1 species
CAGUCGCCGCGGUAAUACGUAGGGGGCAAGCGUUGUCCGGAAUUAUUGGGCGUAAAGCGCGUGUAGGCGGCUCAGCAAGUCCGCUCUGAAAGCCCAGGGCUCAACCCUGGGAUGCGGGUGGAUACUGCUGAGCUCGAGUCCGGAAGAGGCGAGUGGAAUUCCUGGUGUAGCGGUGAAAUGCGCAGAUAUCAGGAGGAACACCAAUGGCGAAGGCAGCUCGCUGGGACGUGACUGACGCUGAGACGCGAAAGCGUGGGGAGCAAACAGGAUUAGAUACCCCCGUAGUCCCUGUCUCUUAUAC